GUGCGCAGGCGGUUUUGUAAGCCAGAUGUGAAAUCCCCGGGCUUAACCUGGGAAUGGCAUUUGGGACUGCAAGGCUUGAGUGCGGCAGAGGGGGGUAGAAUUCCACGUGUAGCAGUGAAAUGCGUAGAGAUGUGGAGGAAUACCGAUGGCGAAGGCAGCCCCCUGGGCCAACACUGACGCUCAUGCACGAAAGCGUGGGGAGCAAACAGGAUUAGAUACCCUAGUAGUCCACGCCCUAAACGAUGUCAACUAGUUGUUGGGGAUUCAUUUCCUUAGUAACGUAGCUAACGCGUGAAGUUGACCGCCUGGGGAGUACGGUCGCAAGAUUAAAACUCAAAGGAAUUGACGGGGACCCGCACAAGCGGUGGAGCAUGUGGUUUAAUUCGAUGCAACGCGAAGAACCUUACCUGGUCUUGACAUCCUAGGAACCCUGAAGAGAUUCGGGGGUGCCGCAAGGAACCUAGAGACAGGUGCUGCAUGGCUGUCGUCAGCUCGUGUCGUGAGAUGUUGGGUUGAGUCCCGCAACGAGCGCAACCCUUGUCCUUAGUU
rnacentral:rRNA from 1 species